rnacentral:ncRNA from 1 species
UCCAUUGUGAAGUGGAAUCUGAAGGAAGUCGGCGGCAAAAUCCCGAGUUUGCGAAUAGAAAUUGUAUACAAAGGCUGAAUUGGAAUGGACGAGUUUGCAACACAAAAUAAAGUCCAAUACUGCCCGAAUUCCAUACAGUAAAUACAACAGUUACAUGGGAGGAAGGUUAUCACC